rnacentral:rRNA from 1 species
AUUGAACGCUGGCGGCAUGCCUUACACAUGCAAGUCGAACGGUAACGGGCCUUCGGGUGCCGACGAGUGGCGAACGGGUGAGUAAUGCAUCGGAACGUACCUUUCAGUGGGGGAUAACGUAGCGAAAGUUACGCUAAUACCGCAUAUUCUGUGAGCAGGAAAGCAGGGGGAUCGCAAGACCUUGCGCUGAUUGAGCGGCCGAUGUCAGAUUAGCUAGUUGGUGAGGUAAAGGCUCACCAAGGCGACGAUCUGUAGCGGGUCUGAGAGGAUGAUCCGCCACACUGGAACUGAGACACGGUCCAGACUCCUACGGGAGGCAGCAGUGGGGAAUUUUGGACAAUGGGGGCAACCCUGAUCCAGCCAUGCCGCGUGAGUGAAGAAGGCCUUCGGGUUGUAAAGCUCUUUCGGCCGGGAAGAAAUCGCAUGGGCUAAUACCCUGUGCGGAUGACGGUACCGGCAUAAGAAGCACCGGCUAACUACGUG